AAUGUAGUAGGGGAAUCAAAAGCCCUAAUUUCAUUUCUCUUUUCUCUCUCUCUCUCUUCUCUUCAUAUAUAUAUAUAUAUAUAUAUAUAUAUGUAUAUAUACUAGCAGUUUCAGAUCUCUCUCUUUCUUCAAAUCAAUUUACAGAACAUGAUGAUUUGCUUGUUUUGCUUUGAUUGCUUUCUCAGAACUCAAAAACAAAAACAGAACUCCAUUCGAUUCAUUCUGAAAUUCUCAAUUUUCUUCGAAAUGGGUUGUGGGAUUCCUCCUCAAUUGGCUCUGCAGGACAUUUUUAAAGAGGUCAUUGUCAAAUGGCAACAUUCUUUGUGAAAGCAAUUCACCCAUUGAAGCCACUGAUGUUUGACAAAAUGAAUAUCACAAUCAACCUUUGCUUGAUAAGACGCAAGGUCUUUCAGAGCCAACUCCAGAAAUCUUUACUUGUGAAAGUGAAUUAUCUUAUUCAAGGUAUACCCCCUCCAUGUCUAGUAGACAGCUUUUUCCAGAUAUGCAGCAGAACCAAUAUCUGGAAAAUGAUCGUGUUUGUUUGGAUGGACAUCGAGUUUCAUUCCACUGCUCAAAUUUUUGGGACGUGGAUUGGCUUUCUUCAUUAGGAAAUUCAUGUGAAGAAGAAACUUAUGAAAGAUCUAUGCUCAUAAGCUCUCCUAUUACCGGUACGUCAUCAGGUAACGUUGUUACUGGACUUAAAAUGGAGUCAGGUGCUUCUGCUAGUACAUCUGGGUUCAGCAUGAAGGUGAGGAGGAGCAUUGGAUCUUCAAUCAGGUUGUAGAGGUUUUCUCAGAUGGGAGUGAGCAAGCUGGAGUAUGAUCUGGUUUUGUGUUGUUUUUUCCUUGCUACGUUGGUUCCUCACCAACCCUUGAUGGUGUGCUAGUGUGCUUAUUGGUGCCAACCUCGUUCCUCGGCUCAAUUUAUCCAUCAAUUCAAUCUCAAACCUUCAAAUCCCAAACUCAACAGGAUGCAACCCUUGAGUACGUGAUGAUAUCUUCAUAUAUUGACAUUGGAGCUUAUUAUUGAUAUCAAAACAAGCUAUAAUAUAUAUGUUUUUUUUAUAUUUAUAUUGUCAAUACUUUUAUUUUGUUUUAGAUACAAAAAUUUGAGUUCUUGAAUACAAAAAAUUAUUAGUGUUGUUGGAGGUUGUUUUAUAUAUUUUUGUAAAGAAUAUUUGGUUGACAAUUAUUACAUGGUACAUAUAUAUUAUUCUUGGUUUAUG